AUAACGGAGAGUUUGAUCCUGGCUCAGAACUAACGCUGGCGGCGCGUCUUAAACAUGCAAGUCGAACGGAAAGGCCCUUCGGGGUACUCGAGUGGCGAACGGGUGAGUAACACGUAGGUAAUCUACCCUCGGGUGGGGGAUAACCCUCCGAAAGGAGAGCUAAUACCGCAUAACACC
rnacentral:rRNA from 1 species